rnacentral:rRNA from 1 species
ACCUACGGGGGGCAGCAGUAGGGAAUUUUCGUCAAUGGGCGCAAGCCUGAACGAGCAAUGCCGCGUGAACGAGGAAGGUCUUCGGAUCGUAAAGUUCUGUUGAAGGGGAAAAAGAGCGGAGAGAGGAAAUGGUCUCCGAUUGAUAUUACCCUUCGAGGAAGUCACGGCUAACUACGUGCCAGCAGCCGCGGUAAUACGUAGGUGGCGAGCGUUAUCCGGAAUGAUUGGGCGUAAAGGGUGCGUAGGCGGCCUGCUAAGUCUGGAGUGAAAGGUACCGGCUCAACCGGUACCGGCUCUGGAAACUG